rnacentral:misc_RNA from 1 species
UUUCCGUAGGUGAACCUGCGGAAGGAUCAUUAAUGUAACCGGACCGUUCCUUUGCCGUAAAACGCACUGGAUUGAAAGGGAGAUAUCAUACACCCUAUGUUUAUUUACUUUUGUUGCUUUGGUGGGCCGUCCUUUACGGCGUCGGCCUCGGCUGAUCGCGCCCGCCAGAGGACCCAAACUCUUUUAUUAGUGAUGUCUGAGUACUAUAUAAUAGUUAAAACUUUCAACAACGGAUCUCUUGGUUCUG